CGGAAAUCAAAUACUUGUGUACAAUAAAUUAACAAAACACCGGAUUAAAACAACAACUUCAAGCACCGCGCGCCGCGAAACUGCCGAAGCAGAAGCAGAACCCGAAAGCAAAGCCUUUCGUAGGAAUGCGAAAAAAAUAACGGAUUUCCUAGUGCAUGAUUGUAUAGCACUGUACGUGGUACAUACAUAUAACAGUGUUCCACAGUGGAUAAUUACUAGAGACCAGAAGAUCCAUUGCCGAUGGUUUUCACCUUUAAACGAAGGAUCUUCAGAUACUACUCCCAAUAGUGACUAUAUGGAUGCUAUGGUGAGUUCACAAACAGAGAUUUUGGAGAGCUGUAAUACAAUCAAUAAGUGAGUGUAUUUUGUUACGUUUCGAGUUGAACAU